AAAAUUGGGGCCAGCAUUCUACCAACAUUUUACAAUUUCACUAGUUAUAUAAUAAUCUAACGGUUUUUACAAUUUUACGGUGACAUGUA